rnacentral:rRNA from 1 species
AUGGGAAGCAACUUGCCAAAGCUCUGCCACCUCGAGAUAGGAUACAUGCUCAUUAAGACUAUGGUUGUCGUUAAGAUCGCCUUCCAGUGCCUUGACCUCAAGUUCUUAGAUCUGCGUGGUUGCUGGGAUGUCGACGAUACGCUCUUGCAAGAGAAGAAUCCUUGGCUGAAAAGCAUCGGCCCCCGCAUGGGCGACUGCUAUGAGAACCACAUCUACGAGGAGUGCACCGAUGACUCGGGUGAUGAAUACAUCUACUCAUGGGAACAGUUCAUGGACGAUGCACGCCUCCCAGAUGCGGUUCUCAUGACGUCCAUGAACUUUUGCGUAAGUAAAUGUAGUCGUAAUCCCAGUCAUGGGUGCAAUCCUCCCUAA